AAUGGUUCUAAAAGCCUCACACACCCAUACCAGAGAAAAGAGAGCAACCAGUUUAAGUUUCUCUGAUUAUAUACUUGAAGUCACCUUGAACAUCCCGGACCUGGAGGCUCUUCGAACAGCUUUAAACACCUUUGAUUUCCCUUUAAUGAUCAGCAAUACUACUGAAAUCACCAGCAUAGAAACGACAACAGUGUGUUUACCAACAAAUACAAAUGGAUACCAGUGCAUAUGUGAGCAGGACUUUGCUUGGUCAGGUGACAUUUGCACUGAAC